rnacentral:rRNA from 1 species
ACCCAUUCCGAACCCGGAAGCUAAGCCAACCCACGCCGAUGGUACUGCACCCGGGAGGAUGUGGGAGAGUAGGACACCGCCGACC